GGUCAAAAGAGAAGCUGGCUGACGUCACAACCUGAGACGAUCCUCCCCUUUCAUUUUCCCUUACUUCGAGCAGCUCAUUGUAGAACUGUUUCAGAAAAUCAUGACAGGCUCUCAACUAGACUUUGAUGCGACUCAGAAGCAUGGAAAAGCCUAACUAAGGAUGAGCGGGGAAUCAGUGCUGGCGAAAAAAGUCGAUCCGGAGGGGGCAUGGACAAAGAGGACACAGGCCUAAAAACAGAAUAUAGGAGCUAAUGUAUUUAAUCUUUCAUCGAGAACACUAACGUAGGUCUUGCAGGUGUCUAUAAAUGAGUUGCAUGAUUGUGCAAGCUGAGUCAAGUAAGAGCCAUCAUGUGGUAGACAACUAUGGGCCAAAACAGAUCUUGGA